rnacentral:rRNA from 1 species
AGGAUGAACGCUGGCGGCGUGCCUAACACAUGCAAGUCGAACGUCCUGUCUCGCAAGAGGCAGGGAGUGGCGGACGGGUGAGUACCACGUGGGUUAUCUACCGUGAGGUGAGGAAUACCGGCGAGAAAUCGCCGACAAGACCGCAUAGCCUCGGUGCAAGCCGAGCAAAGCUCUUUCGAGAGAGGGAGCGCCACACGAGGAGCCUGCGCCCGAUUAGCUAGCUGGUGGAGUAACGGUUCACCAGGGCGACGAUCGGUAGCUGGUCUGAGAGGACGAUCAGCCACACUGGGAUUGAGAACGGCCCAGACUCCUACGGGGGGCAGCAGUGAGGAAUUUCGUCAAUGGGGCAACCCUGAACGAGCAACGCCGCGUGCAGGAAGAAGGUUUCGGAUCGUAAACUGCUUUUCUCGGGGAAGAGAACGGACGGUACCCGAGGAAUCAGCCCCGGCUAACUACGUGCCAGCAGCCGC